GUGUGUGUGUCUGUUCCAGUAAGUGCUGCAGUGGAUUAGUCACCUGGUUUAUUUAAGGCAGAGAGAGGGUGCAGACACAUCAGUGCAUAACUGCCUAGUUGUACAUAGAGUACAUAGUUAAUGAGAGACUGGGUUGCUUAGUCAGUUAGUCAGUGUGUAUGACUUAGGUCCUAAGUCAUUCAGUCAGCAUGCAGAGCAACAUCUACAGGCAACAGAAUGAGCACUUUGAAGUCUUUACCACUGUCCUCUCCCCACAAGUUCACCGGGGACGAUGCCAAUUCAGACAGGCGGAGGCUGACAAGAUGGUGGUAAAGCGCAGCUACAAGCCCCACUGGCCAGAUGAGCUGGCGCUGACCCGGGGGGAGUUCAUCCUGGUUCUGUGUAAAGAUGAUGAGGCCCGGUGGUUUGGGCGGCUGCAAAACGGACAGCAGGGAUACUUCCCGGCCUCGCAUGUUGUGGAGCUGAGCCACCAGGACGAUGAGCCAGCUAAAGACGUCCACCGCUUAGCGAGACGGGGUUCAGCUCCGGCCACGUAUGCAGGUGGUACUGGCGCACUCAGGCUGCAGGCCCUCCGCAGAGCCAGCAGAGCAGCGGCAGGAGGGGGGCCGGAGGGGGCCGAGGGGGAGAGAGAGGGCCCCAUCCUGAUACUGAAGUCCCAGAUCUCUCUCCCUAACAGGCUGCCCCAGCCCCUGCCCCAACCCCAGCCACAGGCACACAGCUCCCCAAGCUUCCUCCACAGGAUCCUAUCCAAGCACCGUCGGAGGAGUGAUUGUCAUGGGUCCAGCAACACGGGCUACAUGGCCGACUAAGAUGCUACGAUGGACGGUGGUGUGUGGGGAGAGAAACAGGCACAAGAGGGGCAAGGAGGGAAGAGAGAGGAGGAGAUUGAGUAUAGCGAAAAGUGACUACAUUUUGUGCCCACCCCCAAUGGGGCCAGGUAGGGUUGCCAUAGUUACAUCACUAAUGCUAGUCUAUGACUGAACUGCUGGCUGCAUCAUUGGAGAGCUGGAGUGAGGGUAACUACUUCCCUGCCUCCUCUGUAAAGUGUUUAAGAAAUAUCAAUGGUGUACCGUAUAUACAUUUUCCGGGAUUAAGAUGUGACAUUAAGCAAGCCGUAAAUUGAAGGGUUGAAUAGGGGGAUCAGAUUUAUGACUAUAUUUUAUGAAGCUAACUGUGUUUACUUCAGCCAAAUAAUGUUCCAUGAGUCUGCCUGAGCUUUCUGUUCCAUGAGUCUGCCUGAGCUUUCUGUUCCAUGUUGUCAUCCAUAUUAGGCUGUAUUCUCUGCAACUACGACGUUCCAGAGCAGCACUAAAUCAUUGAUAUAUUUCCUUUUGACUGUAAAUUGUUCAAUUUAAUUUGUGUUAAACCCAACAUCAGCCAAGAAUGUAUUUUUCAUAAAAAAUAAUCAAACCCGUACUUGCGGCUGAUAUCCCUUAAUUCUAGUUAGUAACAUAUUCCACUACAGCAUGUACCACGGCAAGAGUCUUCCAUUCAACAGAGCUGAAAAAAGCCCUGCGAAGUGAGAGGAUGUGUGAUUGAGGCGUGUUGAAAGGCACUGCCAAAGGAAAUGGCAUCAUUAUUGUGAAGGUUGCCCAGGCAAUGGUAAAACAGCUCUCUCUCUCUGGGCUCCACACAGUCUUCAGUGGUACCUCCCAGCAUGGCCACGACUGGAGUACGCUGUAGAAUGUAUCCUUUGAAAGGGCAACGCUGUGGAAUGUAUCCUUUGGAAGGACUAAAGCUCCAACUCUCUAAUCCUAAUCCUAACCUUGACCUCUAUUAGAUUUAGACACCACAUCCACCAGCCCAGUGAUGUGUCCACUGAUAAACUUAGAUCAGAUCUAUUCUAACAAGGACCAUAUCCCGGCCUGAUAUGUGAGAUUAUGGCACUAGCCAUAACGGUUGCUGGUUAAAAAGGUAAGCGUUUAAAAAAAUGCCUUCCUGUAAUUUAUGACUAGUUGCAUGGUCAGUCUGAACCUCUGUGUUGUUGAGGUGGAAGCAGAAAUAGUGUCUGAACAGUUUUCCAACAUCUUGGUGUUCCCUCGCACAUCUUCCUGAUUUCUCAGUAUGUGAUACAGGAUGUUUGAUGCUGGAGGCCUGGCCGCCACAGCCAUCUGCUGAGAAAGGCUUAGCACCUCUGAGAGAGGAGCAGCUUUCCCCCUCUGACUGGCCUCUCCUCUCUCUACUCUCCUUCAUCCAUUCAUUCAUUCAAUCAGUGCUUUAAUUAUCUUUAAUCCAGGGUCAAACUCUGCCUCUCUCUAACUCCUGGAAUAAAGCCGUGCUAUGUGGAUUAUUGUGGUUGACAUCCAGUGGGGACAGUGACAGCUACACACAGACUGACAGAGGCCCUACUCUCAUAGAGGCUAGAGGCCCAGAGGGCUGGUGUGUGUGUAGAGGGGGGGUGUUCACCUGCCUGACACCUGGUCUUUCCCCUCCUCACCUGUGGAGCAGCAGAUGCUAUGCAGGAGAAUGCUGAGCCCUGCCCCACCCCCAGUGAACACAGUCUGUACCCCUCAUACACUGUCUUCCAUGCCCAUUCAACCAGGAAACCUUGACUAAGCGCACACACACACACACACACACACACACACACACACACACACACACACACACACACANNNNNNNNNNGGCCACGUAUGCAGGUGGUACUGGGUGAGAGCAGCGCGCCCAAAACACACACACAGAUACACACUCAGAAAGACACAAACACACACUAUCCUCAAUCAAACCCCCCUCCACAAGUGCGUGUACACAACUCAUACACACACCCCAGCAGCUGUUCUCCACACACACACACACCCCUCACUGCCUCCACCUCCUCCAGUUCCCCUCCGCCCAGCACACCCUGAACAGGUGGCCCCUCUCAUCCCUCAUUAGUUGACAAAGCACACAGAUUACAUCCCCCCCCCACCCCCCCCACCCCUCCCUCCCUGAUCAAUUCCCACUCACUGCACUGCUGCUCCCUCACACACUGGACCACAGUGGGGGCUCACAGUCACAGACCUGUGUUCAGGGGAGUAGAUGAGGGCUCCCUCUUUCCCUCAAAAAAUA
rnacentral:lncRNA from 13 species